rnacentral:misc_RNA from 1 species
UCAUUUUCAAUUCAUUCAUCAACCAUUCUAUCCACCACUUUGCUUUGUCUGGGUUUCAUUUUGUCAGUGUAGGAAGUAUUCCCAGUUUGAAUCAUACUGAACUUUUCUUGCAGUUAUCUUCCACUGCUUCUGUGUAUGUAUUUUUACCUUUAAUGUACUAUAUAUAACACUUACUUUGUUAUGAAUUAUCUUCUUCUUUUUAGAAUG